rnacentral:rRNA from 1 species
GACGAACGCUGGCGGCGUGCUUAACACAUGCAAGUCGAACGGAAAGGCCCUGCUUGCAGGGUGCUCGCGUGGCGAACGGGUGAGUAACACGUGGGUGAUCUGCCCCUUACUUUGGGAUAAGCCUGGGCAACUGGGUCUAAUACUGGACAGGACCAUGCUGUAGGUGGUGUGGUGGAAAGAUUAGUUUCGGUAAGCGAUGAGUUCGCGGCCUAUCAGCUGUUGGUGGGGUAAUGGCCUACCAAGGCGUCGACGGGUAGCCGGCCUGAUAGGGUGGACGGCAACAUUGGGACUGAGAGAGGGCGCAGACUCCGGCGGGAGGCAGCAGUGGGGAAUAGCGUACAAUGGGCGCAAGCCUGAUGCAGCGACGGCGCGGGGGGGAUGACGGCCUUCGGGUUGUAAACUACUUUCAGGCAUGACGAAGCGCUUGUGGUGACGGUAGUGGUAGAAGAAGCACCGGCUAACUACGUG